GCAAGUCGAACGAUGAAGCCCAGCUUGCUGGGUGGAUUAGUGGCGAACGGGUGAGUAACACGUGAGCAACGUGCCCAUAACUCUGGGAUAACCACCGGAAACGGUGGCUAAUACUGGAUAUCUAACAUGAUCGCAUGGUCUGUGUUUGGAAAGAAUUUUGGUUAUGGAUCGGCUCACGGCCUAUCAGCUUGUUGGUGAGGUAAUGGCUCACCAAGGCGACGACGGGUAGCCGGCCUGAGAGGGUGACCGGCCACACUGGGACUGAGACACGGCCCAGACUCCUACGGGAGGCAGCAGUGGGGAAUAUUGCACAAUGGGCGAAAGCCUGAUGCAGCAACGCCGCGUGAGGGAUGACGGCCUUCGGGUUGUAAACCUCUUUUAGUAGGGAAGAAGCGAAAGUGACGGUACCUGCAGAAAAAGCACCGGCUAACUACGUGCCAGCAGCCGCGGUAAUACGUAGGGUGCAAGCGUUGUCCGGAAUUAUUGGGCGUAAAGAGCUCGUAGGCGGUUUGUCGCGUCUGCUGUGAAAUCCCGAGGCUCAACCUCGGGUCUGCAGUGGGUACGGGCAGACUAGAGUGUGGUAGGGGAGAUUGGAAUUCCUGGUGUAGCGGUGGAAUGCGCAGAUAUCAGGAGGAACACCGAUGGCGAAGGCAGAUCUCUGGGCCAUUACUGACGCUGAGGAGCGAAAGCAUGGGGAGCGAACAGGAUUAGAUACCCUGGUAGUCCAUGCCGUAAACGUUGGGCGCUAGAUGUGGGGACCAUUCCACGGUUUCCGUGUCGUAGCUAACGCAUUAAGCGCCCCGCCUGGGGAGUACGGCCGCAAGGCUAAAACUCAAAGGAAUUGACGGGGGCCCGCACAAGCGGCGGAGCAUGCGGAUUAAUUCGAUGCAACGCGAAGAACCUUACCAAGGCUUGACAUAUACCGGAAACGUUCAGAAAUGUUCGCCCCGCAAGGUCGGUAUACA
rnacentral:rRNA from 1 species